rnacentral:rRNA from 1 species
UACGGAGGGUACAAGCGUUAUCCGGAUUCACUGGGUUUAAAGGGUGCGUAGGCGGGCAGGUAAGUCCGUGGUGAAAUCUCUGAGCUUAACUCAGAAACUGCCAUGGAUACUAUUUGUCUUGAAUGUUGUGGAGGUAAGCGGAAUAUGUCAUGUAGCGGUGAAAUGCUUAGAUAUGACAUAGAACACCAAUUGCGAAGGCAGCUUACUACACAAAUAUUGACGCUGAGGCACGAAAGCGUGGGGAUCAAACAGG